rnacentral:rRNA from 1 species
GAGUUUGAUCCUGGCUCAGGAGGACCGCUGGGCGGCGUGCUUAACCACAUGCCAAAGUCGAGGAAAGCACAUCUGUUGAUCCUUCGGGUGGAUUCAGCUGUGACUGAGCCGGCGGGACGGGUUGAGUAACGCGUUGGUAACCUGGCUUCAAUACAGGGGGGAUACCAGUGGAAACCGACUGCUAAAUGCCGCAUAAGCGCACAGCAUCCCAUGAUGCAGUGUGAAAAACUCCGGUGGUAUGAGAUGGACCCGCGUUAGAUUAGCUUGUUGGUGGGGUAACGGCCUACCAAGGCGACGAUCUAUAGCCGGACUGAGAGGUCGAACGGCCACAUUGGGACUGAGACACGGCCCAAACUCCUACGGGAGGCAGCAGUGGGGAAUAUUGCACAAUGGGGGAAACCCUGAUGCAGCGACGCCGCGUGAGCGAAGAAGUAUUUCGGUAUGUAAAGCUCUAUCAGCAGGGAAGAAAAUGACGGUACCUGACUAAGAAGCCCCGGCUAACUACGUGCCAGCAGCCGCGGUAAUACGUAGGGGGCAAGCGUUAUCCGGAUUUACUGGGUGUAAAGGGAGCGUAGACGGCAAGGUAAGUCUGAAGUGAAAUGCCGGGGCUCAACCCCGGAACUGCUUUGGAAACUAUCUCGCUCGAGUACCGGAGGGGUAAGCGGAAUUCCUAGUGUAGCGGUGAAAUGCGUAGAUAUUAGGAGGAACACCAGUGGCGAAGGCGGCUUACUGGACGGUAACUGACGUUGAGGCUCGAAAGCGUGGGGAGCAAACAGGAUUAGAUACCCUGGUAGUCCACGCCGUAAA